UACGUAGGGGGCAAGCGUUGUCCGGAAUUAUUGGGCGUAAAGAGCUCGUAGGCGGUUUGUCGCGUCUGCCGUGAAAGUCCGGGGCUCAACUCCGGAUCUGCGGUGGGUACGGGCAGACUAGAGUGAUGUAGGGGAGACUGGAAUUCCCGGUGUAGAGGUGAAAUUCGUAGAUAUCGGGAGGAACACCAGUGGCGAAGGCGGCGAUCUGGGAAGAUACUGACGCUGAGGUGCGAAAGCGUGGGGAGCAAACAGG
rnacentral:rRNA from 1 species